rnacentral:misc_RNA from 1 species
CUACCUUGUUACGACUUCACCCCAGUCAUGAAUCAUACCGUGGUAAUCGCCUUGCGGUUAGGCUAACUACUUCUGGUAAACCCACUCCCACAUGGUGUGACGGGCGGUGUGUACAAGACCCGGGAAGUGUAUUCACUGCGACAUGCUGAUCCGCGAUUACUAGUGAUUCUGACUUCACGCAGUCGAGUUGCAGACUGCGAUCCGGACUACGAUCGGGUUUCUGGACAGCUCCUCGCGGGUUGGCGACCCUCUGUCCCGACCAUUGUAUGACGUGUGAAGCCCUUACCAUAAGGGCCGUUUGACGUCAUCCCCACCUUCCUCCGGGUUUGUUCACCGGCAGUCUCAUUAGAGUGCCCUUCGCAGCAACUAAUGACAAGGGUUGCGCUCGUUGCGGGACUUAACCCACAUCUCACGACACGAGCUGACGACAGCCAUGCAGCACCUGUGUUCCGGUUCUCUUGCGAGCACUGCCAAAUCUUCGGCAUUCCACAUGUCAAGGGUAGGUAAGGUUUUUCAUGCUGCAUCGAAUUAAUCCACAUCAUCCACCGCUUGUGCGGGUCCCCGUCAAUUCCUUUGAGUUUUAAUCUUGCGACCGUACCUCCCAGGCGGUCAACUUCACGCGUUAGCUGCGCUACCAAGGCCCGAAGGCCCCAACAGCUAGUUGACAUCGUUUAGGGCGUGGACUACCAGGGUAUGCCUAAUCCUGUUUGCUCCCACGCUUUCGUGCAUGAGCGUCAGUGUUAUCCCAGGAGGCUGCCUUCGCCAUCGGUGUUCCUCCGCACAUUCACGCAUUUCACUGCUACACGCGGAAUUCCACCUCCUCUGACACACUCUAGCCCGGUAGUUAAAAAUGCAGUUCCAAAGUUAAGCUCUGGGAUUUCACAUCUUUCUUUCCGAACUGCUCAUCGCUUUAUUCAGUAAUUCCGAUUAACGCUUGCACUUACGUGGUUACCGCGGUUGCUGGCACGUAGUUAGCCGGUGCUUAGUUCUGCAGGUACUGUCAGUUUCGCGGGGUAUUACCCACGAUGCUUUUUCCUGCCAAAAAUACGGGAUGGCUGGAUCAGGGUUUCCCAUUGUCCAAAAUUUUCCCGUAUAUUCUGGGCCGUGUCUCAGUCCCAGUGUGGGCGGUCGUCCUCAAACCAGCUACGGACACAGGAGCUGUUACCCACCAAUUAAUAAUCUGAUAUCGGCCGCUCCAAUAGUGCAAGGUCCAGAUCCCCGUUUUCCUCGGGCGUAUGCGGCAUUAGCCAUGCUGCGUAGCAUCCCCGCUAUUAGGCAUGUUCUGCCAUUAGCCGCCCAGGCUGUUUCGACUUGGCUGUGGCGUAUCCCGCCAGCGUUCAUGGAUAGCCUGAACGCUGGCGGGAUGCUUUACAUGCAAGUCGAACGGCAGCACGGACUUCGGUCUGGUGGCGAGUGGCGAACGGGUGAGUAAUGUAUCGGAACGUGCCUAGUAGCGGGGAUAACUACGCGAAAGCGUAGCUAAUACCGCAUACGCCCUUCGGGGGAAAGCGGGGACCUUCGGGCCUCGCACUAUUAGAGCGGCCGAUAUCGGAUUAGCUAGUUGGUGGGGUAACGGCUCACCGUUAUGAUGAUCCGUAGCUGGUUUGAGAGGACGACCAGCCACACUGGGACUGAGACACGGCCCAGACUCCUACGGGAGGCAGCAGUGGGGAAUUUUGACAAUGGGGAAACCCUGAUCCAGCCAUCCUGCGUGUGCGAUGAAGGCCUUCGGGUUGUAAAGCACUUUUGGCAGGAAAAGAAACGGCACGGGAUAAUACCCCGUGCAACUGACGGUACCUGCAGAAUAAGCACCGGCUAACUACGUGCCAGCAGCCGCGGUAAUACGUAGGGUGCAAGCGUUAAUCGGAAUUACUGGGCGUAAAGCGUGCGCAGGCGGUUCGGAAAGAAAGAUGUGAAAUCCCAGAGCUUAACUUUGGAACUGCAUUUUUAACUACCGAGCUAGAGUGUGUCAGAGGGAGGUGGAAUUCGCGUGUAGCAGUGAAAUGCGUAGAUAUGCGGAGAACACCGAUGGCGAAGGCAGCCUCCUGAUACCGACGCUCAUGCACGAAAAAGCGUGGGGAGUAAACAGGAUUAGAUACCCUGGUAGUCCACGCCCUAAACGAUGUCAACCAGCUGUUGGGGCCUCUACCGUAGCGCAGCUAACGCGUGAAGUUGACCGCCUGGGGAGUACGGUCGCAAGAUUAAAACUCAAAGGAAUUGACGGGACCCGCACAAGCGGUGGAUGAUGUGGAUUAAUUCGAUGCAACGCGAAAACCUUACCUACCCUUGACAUGUCUGGAAUCCCGAAGAGAUUUGGGAUGCCUGCAAGAGAACCGAACACAGGUGCUGCAUGGCUGUCGUCAGCUCGUGUCGUGAGAUGUUGGGUUAAGUCCCGCAACGAGCGCAACCCUUGUCAUUAGUUGCUACGAAAGGGCACUCUAAUGAGACUGCCGGUGACAAACCGGAGGAAGGUGGGGAUGACGUCAAGUCCUCAUGGCCCUUAUGGGUAGGGCUUCACACGUCAUACAAUGGUCGGGACAGAGGGUCGCCAACCCGCGAGGGGGAGCCAAUCCCAGAACCCUGGGAUCGUAGCCCUCGAUCGCAGUCUGCAACUCGACUGCGUGAAGUCGGAAUCGCUAGUAAUCGCGGAUCAGCAUGUCGCGGUGAAUACGUUCCUGGCCCUGUACACACCGCCCGUCACACCAUGGGAGUGGGUUUUACCAGAAGUAGUUAGCCUAACCGUAAGGAGGGCGAUUACCACGGUAGGAUUCAUGACUGGGGUGAAGUUUGUAAUAAGGUAG